UUUCGGGCCUUUUCACUUUUCGGAUGAACCCCGAUGGGAUUAGCUAGUUAGGCCGGGGUAACGGCCCCACCUAGGCGANCGAUCCCUUANCUUGGUCUGAGAGGAUGNCCAGCCCCCACUGGAANUGAGACACGUUCCAGANUCCUACGGGAGGCAGCAGUGGGGAAUAUUGCACAAUGGGCGCAAGCCUGAUGCAGCCAUGCCGCGUGUAUGAAGAAGGCCUUCGGGUUGUAAAGUACUUUCAGCGGGGAGGAAGGCGAUGUGGUUAAUAACCGCAUUGAUUGACGUUACCCGCAGAAGAAGCACCGGCUAACUCCGUGCCAGCAGCCGCGGUAAUACGGAGGGUGCAAGCGUUAAUCGGAAUUACUGGGCGUAAAGCGCACGCAGGCGGUCUGUUAAGUCAGAUGUGAAAUCCCCGGGCUUAACCUGGGAACUGCAUUUGAAACUGGCAGGCUUGAGUCUCGUAGAGGGGGGUAGAAUUCCAGGUGUAGCGGUGAAACUGCGUAGAGA
rnacentral:rRNA from 1 species